rnacentral:lncRNA from 1 species
AGAUGCUAAGAUGUCCUGUUCAUCUGACUUCAGGCAGAUGAAGGCCGUCGAAGAUCACAAGCGCAGCUUGCUAUUGUACAGGUUUGGAAUUUAGAAAGGUGACCUAUUUUCAUGUGAACUUACCUAUUCUUUGCUAUUCAGAAUAAUUCUUUAUCUUCCCAUUGCUGUGUUAAUUGAUUCAUAUGCGGUUGUGCUAUUCUGACAAGGAUGUCCAUCAAGGUUGUUUGGAGGGACAUAAUGAAACCUCACAAGUUAUACUUUGCUGAUUCUUUCAGAGAAUUGUUUCAUUACUAAUGCGCUGUCGCGGGCAUGUAUUAAUCCCAAAUUCCAAAUCACUUUGGAAUCCAGUCAAAAUCCAGUGAAAAUCACUUUGGAAUCCUUCUCCGUAAUUGAUUCGCAAAGUACUCUCAAGGACUGCUCUGAACCUCAAAUAUCCUGGGCACAUGAAGUUGUGGUGUAAUUUUUACAGAAACAGUGAUUCAGGCAGCAAG